GGCAUGGUGGCCAAGUGGUAAGGCAUGUCGGUCUCGGUCUCGUAAACCGAAGACCAUGGGUUCAAAUCCCAUCCGUGCCU